rnacentral:rRNA from 1 species
CUACUACAUCCAAGGAAGGCAGCGGGCGCGCAAAUUACCCAAUCCCGACUCGGGGAGGUAGUGACAAUAAAUACUGAUACAGGGCUCUUUUGGGUCUUGUAAUUGGAAUGAGUACAAUUUAAAUCCCUUAACGAGGAACAAUUGGAGGGCAAGUCUGGUGCCAGCAGCCGCGGUAAUUCCAGCUCCAAUAGCGUAUAUUAAAGUUGUUGCAGUUAAAAAGCUCGUAGUUGAACCUUGGGCCUGGCUGGCCGGUCUGCCUCACCGCAUGCACUGGUCCGGCCGGGCCUUUCCCUCUGGGGAGCCGCAUGCCCUUCACUGGGUGUGUCGGGGAACCAGGACUUUUACUGUGAAAAAAUUAGAGUGUUCAAAGCAGGCAUAUGCUCGAAUACAUUAGCAUGGAAUAAUAGAAUAGGACGUCGCGGUUCUAUUUUGUUGGUUUCUAGGACCGCCGUAAUGAUUAAUAGGGACAGUCGGGGGCAUCAGUAUUCAAUCGUCAGAGGUGAAAUUCUUGGAUCGAUUGAAGACUAACUACUGCGAAAGCAUUUGCCAAGGAUGUUUUCAUUAAUCAGGAACGAAAGUUAGGGGAUCGAAAACGAUCAGAUACCGUUGUAGUCUUAACCAUAAACUAUGCCGACUAGGGAUCGGGCGGUGUUAUUUCUUGACCCGCUCGGCACCUUACACGAAAGUAAAGUUUUUGGGUUCUGGGGGGAGUAUGGUCGCAAGGCUGAAA